CCUUAUUAAUUUCAGUUUUUACGAAAGGACUAUUGAAUAUAAAAAAAUUUUUCUUUUAGAA
rnacentral:tRNA from 1 species